rnacentral:rRNA from 1 species
AUUGAACGCUGGCGGCAGGCCUAACACAUGCAAGUCGAAUGGUAACAGGAAACAGCUUGCUGUUUCGCUGACGAGUGGCGGACGGGUGAGUAAUGUCUGGGAAACUGCCUGAUGGAGGGGGAUAACUACUGGAAACGGUAGCUAAUACCGCAUAACGUCGCAAGACCAAAGAGGGGGACCUUCGGGCCUCUUGCCAUCAGAUGUGCCCAGAUGGGAUUAGCUAGUAGGUGGGGUAACGGCUCACCUAGGCGACGAUCCCUAGCUGGUCUGAGAGGAUGACCAGCCACACUGGAACUGAGACACGGUCCAGACUCCUACGGGAGGCAGCAGUGGGGAAUAUUGCACAAUGGGCGCAAGCCUGAUGCAGCCAUGCCGCGUGUAUGAAGAAGGCCU